rnacentral:rRNA from 1 species
GAUGAACGCUGGCGGCGUGCCUAAUACAUGCAAGUCGAGCGGACGGGCGAGGAGCUUGCUUCUCUGAUGUUAGCGGAGCACGGGUGAGUAACACGUGUAUACCCUACCUAUAAGACUGGGAAAACUUCGGGAAACCGGAGCUAAUACCGGAUAAUCUUCUGAACCGCGUGGUUGGAAAGUGAGAGACGGUCGUGCGGGCACUUAUAGAUGCAUCCGCGCUGCAUUAGCUAGUUGGUAAGUUAACGGGUUACCAAGGCAACGAUGCGUAGCCGAACUGAGAGGGUGAUCGGCCACACUGGAACUGGGACACGGUCAAGACGACUACGGGACGCAGCAGAAGGGAACCUGACGCAACGGUGGAAAGUAUGACGGAGCAAGGCGGAGCCAGAUGUGACGGUCUUCGGAGCGGAAAACUGUGUUAUUAGGGAUGAACAUAUGUGUAAGGAACUGUGGACAGCGUGACGGUAAUUAAUCAGAAAGCAACGGCUAACUACGUG